CAGCAGCCGCGGGAAUACGUAGGUGGCAGGCGUUGUCCGGAAUUACUGGGCGUAAAGCGUGCGCAGGCGGUUAUAUAAGUCAGAUGUGAAAUCCCCGGGCUCAACCUGGGAACUGCAUUUGAGACUGUAUGGCUAGAGUGUGUCAGAGGGGGGUAGAAUUCCACGUGUAGCAGUGAAAUGCGUAGAUAUGUGGAGGAAUACCGAUGGCGAAGGCAGCCCCCUGGGAUAACACUGACGCUCAUGCACGAAAGCGUGGGGAGCAAACAGGAUUAGAUACCCCUGUAGUCCCUGUCUCUUAUAC
rnacentral:rRNA from 1 species